rnacentral:rRNA from 1 species
CCUACGGGAGGCUGCAGUGGGGAAUAUUGGACAAUGGGGGCAACCCUGAUCCAGCCAUGCCGCGUGUGUGAAGAAGGCCCUCGGGUUGUAAAGCACUUUCAGUGAGGAAGAACGCCUGGUGGUUAAUACCCAUCAGGAAAGACAUCACUCACAGAAGAAGCACCGGCUAACUCCGUGCCAGCAGCCGCGGUAAUACGGAGGGUGCGAGCGUUAAUCGGAAUUACUGGGCGUAAAGCGCGCGUAGGUGGCUUGAUAAGCCGGUUGUGAAAGCCCCGGGCUCAACCUGGGAACGGCAUCCGGAACUGUCAAGCUAGAGUGCAGGAGAGGAAGGUAGAAUUCCCGGUGUAGCGGUGAUAUGCGUAGAGAUCGGGAGGAAUACCAGUGGCGAAGGCGGCCUUCUGGACUGACACUGACACUGAGGUGCGAAAGCGUGGGUAGCAAACAGGAUUAGAUACCCUAGUAGUC